rnacentral:tRNA from 1 species
GCGAGCGUAGCUCAAUGGCAGAGCCCCAGCCUUCCAAGCUGGCCAUGCGGGUUCGAUUCCCGUCGCUCGCUCCA